AUACGUAGGGGGCAAGCGUUAUCCGGAUUUAUUGGGUUUAAAGGGAGCGUAGGUGGGAUAUUAAGUCAGCUGUGAAAGUUUGGGGCUCAACCUUAAAAUUGCAGUUGAUACUGGUUUCCUUGAGUACGGUACAGGUGGGCGGAAUUCGUGGUGUAGCGGUGAAAUGCUUAGAUAUCACGAAGAACUCCGAUCGCGAAGGCAGCUCACCGGGCCGGAACUGACACUGAUGCUCGAAAGUGCGGGUAUCAAACAGGAUUAGAUACCCUGGUAGUCCGCACAGUAAACGAUGAAUACUCGCUGUUUGCGAUACACUGUAAGCGGCCAAGCGAAAGCGUUAAGUAUUCCACCUGGGGAGUACGCCGGCAACGGUGAAACUCAAAUGAAUUGACGGGG
rnacentral:rRNA from 1 species